rnacentral:lncRNA from 1 species
UUUGUUUCCAUACAUGAUUGGACAGAAAAAGGAAAUAAAAAAUCGUGCCUCGAAUUCCUUCCAUGCGGCCGCAUGCUAUAUUUCCAUGCUACCGCAUGGAAUAAUAAAAAAGGCUCCAAAAAUUGCUGAACCCGUUUGUGCAACCGCAUGGAAAAUGAACUGUUCGACAUCAUGGAAAACUAAUUGGAACCGUGCGACUGCAUGGAAAACGAACCAUGCGACCGCAUGGUUAUACAUUUUUCUUCAUCGUAUAGCUUUCAAUUUUUUAAUCAUAACUUUCUCUCUUUAUGUCCGAUUGAGGUGAUUCAAAUUGCAUUGAAAAGAUAACUCAACGGUCUACAAAUUUUCUUCAGAAGUCAUCUUCCAAUUAGAUCGUCUACCAUGUCUAAAAUGGGUCCCAAUAUGAUGCUAAAAACCGCUGCAUUACUUUUUCGAUCGGAAAUUGAUGUGUGAUUAUACUUCGACUAUAUUUCACCUCUUUGACUUCUUUCUUCAUCAACUUGACAUCUAAAACUCUUGAAUCUUCAUUCCAUCGUUCGUCUCCCGGUUCAACUUUUGAAUAUUUGCAGUUCAGUCCUUGAUCUUUUGAUUUCUUUCACUUUCGUCCUUCUUCACUCUAUUCCUCUAAUUUGUGCCAUAAUCAUCCAAUUGCGACCUAAAUCAAAAUAUAAGGGUACUCAGUACAUUUAGGCAUUAAUUAAUCACAAAAAUGAAUGUAUUAAUGGAUGUAAAACAUGACAUUUUAUGUCUUAUCAACAGGAAAUGCUCAAUAAGGGGAUUAUCAGAACUAGUACUAGUCCCUUCUCUUCACCUGUGCUCUUACCGCGCUCUCAAUGCCGUUACCGUUAAAGAUUGCUUUCCCAUACCCACGAUGGAAGACAUGCUUGAUAAAUUACAUAGAGCUACUUCUUUUUCUAAGCUACAUCUUUCGGUGGGAUAUCAUCAAAUAAGAAUGCACCCUCCUGACAUUUCUAAGACUGCCUUUAGAACGCACAAUGGCCAUUAUGAAUACUUGAUCAUGCCGUUUGGGUUGUGUAAUGCGCCUUCCACCUUUCAGGCUAUUAUGAAUACAAUUUUCAGUCUUUAUAUCAUAAAAUUCAUCUUGAUUUUCUUUGAUGAUAUCUUAAUUUAUAGUCCUACUUGGGAAAUGCAUUUAGCACACGUGGAAAAAACUCUAGAAAUCCUAAAUUCACAAAAGUUCUUUGUCAAGGCUGGCAAGUGUGUAUUUGCCAACAAGAACUUGAAUAUUUGGGCCAUAUUGUGACACACAACGAAGU